CUAUUCCAUUAUAUCAUGCCAUGCUAUCAUUGGUUCUGUUAUAUUUCUCACUAUCCCAUUUUAACUACUUAUGUUUGAGACUAGCAUUUAAAUGUUCUUUAAUUAAUUAAAAGUAAGCAUUUUCUUGGUAAUUUAAAUGAACAUGUUAUGGGACGAUUCUAAUAGUAAGUCACUGAUUAUAAAGGUAACACCACAUUUUAAAGAU
rnacentral:lncRNA from 1 species